AGGCCCUAAUUAGCCCUAAUGAGCCGCUAAUUGCAGGUUCUGGAGAAGCUCCGCCCCCUGGAGCAGCGGCUCCGGCACCACCUGGAGAAGCUCCUGAGGGCGGCGGCCCUGGGGGGGCGUGGUGCCGAGGAUCCAAUGAGCUUCCGGCCCGCCCCUUCCAACAUGGCGGCGCAGGAUGCCGAUGAUGAUGAUGAUGA